rnacentral:rRNA from 1 species
UACAGAGGGUGCAAGCGUUAUUCGGAAUUACUGGGCGUAAAGCGCAUGUAGGUGGUUUGAUAAGUCUGGUGUGAAAUCCCCCGACUCAAUCGGGGAAGUGCAUUGGAUACUGUCAGACUGGAGUAUGGGAGAGGAGAGUGGAAUUCCAGGUGUAGAGGUGAAAUUCGUAGAUAUCUGGAGGAACAACAGAGGCGAAGGCGGCUCUCUGGACCAUAACUGACACUGAAAUGCGAAAGCGUGGGGAGCAAACAGG